rnacentral:rRNA from 1 species
AGAGCACUGGAUGGGCUAUGGGGACUCACCGUCUUACUGAUCCUAACCAAACUCCGAAUACCGAGGAGUACUAGUCGGCAGACACACGGCGGGUGCUAACGUCCGUCGUGAAAAGGGCAACAACCCUGACCUCCAGCUAAGGUCCCCAAGUCAUGGCUAAGUGGGAAAGGAUGUGAGGAUCCCAAAACAACCAGGAUGUUGGCUUAGAAGCAGCCAUCAUUUAAAGAAAGCGUAACAGCUCACUGGUCUAAAUAAGGGUCUUUGCGCCGAAAAUGUAACGGGGCUGAAGCCAUGCACCGAAGCUGAGGAUACGUCGUAAGACGUGUGGUAGCGGAGCGUUCCGUAAGCCAGUGAAGGGAUACCCGUGAGGGGUCCUGGAGGUAUCGGAAGUGCGAAUGUUGACAUGAGUAACGAUAAAGAGGGUGAGAGACCCUCUCGCCGAAAGACCAAGGGUUCCUGCUUAAAGUUAAUCUGAGCAGGGUUAGCCGGCCCCUAAGACGAGGCGGACACGCGUAGUCGAUGGGAACCACGUUAAUAUUCGUGGGCCUGGUGGUAGUGACGGAUUGCUCAACUUGUCCGGACUUAUUGGAUUGUCCGGGCGGGGACGCGGUUCCAGGAAAUAGCUCCACCGUAUAGACCGUACCCGAAACCGACACAGGUGGUCAGGUAGAGUAUACCAAGGCGCUUGAGAGAACUAUGUUGAAGGAACUCGGCAAAUUGCACGCGUAACUUCGGAAGAAGCGUGACCCUUUUCUACGCAAGUAGGAUGGGGUGGCACAGACCAGGGGGUAGCGACUGUUUAUCAAAAACACAGGGCUCUGCGAAGUCGCAAGACGACGUAUAGGGUCUGACGCCUGCCCGGUGCUGGAAGGUUAAGAGGAGGGGUGCAAGCUCUGAAUCGAAGCCCCAGUAAACGGCGGCCGUAACUAUAACGGUCCUAAGGUAGCGAAAUUCCUUGUCGGGUAAGUUCCGACCUGCACGAAUGGCGUAACGACUUCCCCGCUGUCUCCAACAUAGACUCAGUGAAAUUGAAUUCCCCGUGAAGAUGCGGGGUUCCUGCGGUCAGACGGAAAGACCCCGUGCACCUUUACUAUAGCUUUACACUGGCAUUCGUGUCGGCAUGUGUAGGAUAGGUGGUAGGCUUUGAAGCGGGGACGCCAGUUCUCGUGGAGCCAUCCUUGAAAUACCACCCUUAUCGUCAUGGAUGUCUAACCGCGGUCCGUCAUCCGGAUCCGGGACAGUGUAUGGUGGGUAGUUUGACUGGGGCGGUCGCCUCCGAAAGAGUAACGGAGGCGCGCGAUGGUGGGCUCAGAGCGGUCGGAAAUCGCUCGUCGAGUGCAAUGGCAUAAGCCCGCCUGACUGCGAGACUGACAAGUCGAGCAGAGACGAAAGUCGGUCAUAGUGAUCCGGUGGUCCCGCGUGGAAGGGCCAUCGCUCAACGGAUAAAAGGUACGCCGGGGAUAACAGGCUGAUGACCCCCAAGAGUCCAUAUCGACGGGGUUGUUUGGCACCUCGAUGUCGGCUCAUCGCAUCCUGGGGCUGGAGCAGGUCCCAAGGGUUUGGCUGUUCGCCAAUUAAAGCGGUACGUGAGCUGGGUUCAGAACGUCGUGAGACAGUUCGGUCCCUAUCUGCCGUGGGUGUAGGAAUAUUGACAGGAUCUGUCCCUAGUACGAGAGGACCGGGAUGGACAUAUCUCUGGUGGACCUGUUGUCCUGCCAAGGGCAUAGCAGGGUAGCUAUAUAUGGAAGGGAUAACCGCUGAAGGCAUCUAAGCGGGAAACCCACCUGAAAACGAGUAUUCCCUUGAGAACCGUGGAAGACGACCACGUUGAUAGGCCGGGUGUGGAAGUGCGGCAACGCAUGAAGCUUACCGGUACUAAUCGUUCGAUUGGCUUGAUCGU